AAUAAGUCCUAAAUAAAACAGAAAAGAUCCAAAAAAAAUAAUCCCUUCCGUACUCUUUUUUUUUUUUGUUAUUGUUGUUUGCUGCCGCCGCCCCCUCGUUUUUUUCUUCUUUUCUAAUU
rnacentral:ribozyme from 1 species